rnacentral:ncRNA from 1 species
GUAUUUAUAGAUUCCUUGGUAUCAUUGCGGUCAUGAAUAUGCGAGUGCCAAGUGGGCCAUUUUUGGUAAGCAGAACUAGCACUCUGUGAUGAACCAAACGCGUGGAUACGGUGACUUACGCUGACGAUCAUGAGAUACCACAAAAGGAGUUGGUAAAUAUAGGCAGCAGGACGUGGCUAUAGACGUAGAGUGUAACAAACCACCUGCCGAAUUGACCAGCCCUGAAAAUGGAUGGCGCUAGACCUAUGGAUGGCGUCGGACCUAUAACCGCAACGUCAUUGCAAGCUGCACCUAUGGAUUUGUACAUUAUGUGGGCGUGUGUAAUCGCAGCAAAAUUCGUAGCACGAUGGUGAGUA